GUUUCGGUGACCUAAGUGGUUAGAGCGUCCGCCUCAUAUGUCGGAGGUCGCAGGUUCGAACCCCGGCCGAGUCU